rfam:Triticum aestivum genome assembly, contig: Triticum_aestivum_CS42_TGACv1_scaffold_177279_2DS
UAAGUACUCCCUCCAUCCGGAAAUCCUUGUCAUCAAAAUGGAUAAAAGAGGAUGUAUCUAGACGUGUUUUAGUUUUAGAUACAUCUUUUUUUGUCCAUUUUGAUGACAAAUAUUUUUAGACGGAGGGAGUAUAUA